rnacentral:rRNA from 1 species
GACGAACUUUGGCGGCGUGCUUAACACAUGCAAGUCGAACGGAAAGGCCCUGCUUUUGUGGGGUGCUCGAGUGGCGAACGGGUGAGUAACACGUGAGUAACCUGCCCUUGACUUUGGGAUAACUUCAGGAAACUGGGGCUAAUACCGGAUAGGAGCUCCUGCUGCAUGGUGGGGGUUGGAAAGUUUCGGCGGUUGGGGAUGGACUCGCGGCUUAUCAGCUUGUUGGUGGGGUAGUGGCUUACCAAGGCUUUGACGGGUAGCCGGCCUGAGAGGGUGACCGGCCACAUUGGGACUGAGAUACGGCCCAGACUCCUACGGGAGGCAGCAGUGGGGAAUAUUGCACAAUGGGCGGAAGCCUGAUGCAGCAACGCCGCGUGCGAGAUGGCGGCCUUCGGGUUGUAAACCGCUUUCGCCUGUGACGAAGCGUGAGUGACGGUAAUGGGUAAAGAAGCACCGGCUAACUACGUGCCAGCAGCCGCGGUGAUACGUAGGGUGCGAGCGUUGUCCGGAUUUAUUGGGCGUAAAGGGCUCGUAGGUGGUUGAUCGCGUCGGAAGUGUAAUCUUGGGGCUUAACCCUGAGCGUGCUUUCGAUACGGGUUGACUUGAGGAAGGUAGGGGAGAAUGGAAUUCCUGGUGGAGCGGUGGAAUGCGCAGAUAUCAGGAGGAACACCAGUGGCGAAGGCGGUUCUCUGGGCCUUUCCUGACGCUGAGGAGCGAAAGCGUGGGGAGCGAACAGGCUUAGAUACCCUGGUAGUCCACGCUGUAAACGGUGGGUACUAGGUGUGGGGUCCAUUCCACGGGUUCCGUGCCGUAGCUAACGCUUUAAGUACCCCGCCUGGGGAGUACGGCCGCAAGGCUAAAACUCAAAGGAAUUGACGGGGCCCCGCACAAGCGGCGGAGCAUGCGGAUUAAUUCGAUGCAACGCGUAGAACCUUACCUGGGUUUGACAUGGAUCGGGAGUGCUCAGAGAUGGGUGUGCCUCUUUUGGGGUCGGUUCACAGGUGGUGCAUGGCUGUCGUCAGCUCGUGUCGUGAGAUGUUGGGUUAAGUCCCGCAACGAGCGCAACCCUUGUUCACUGUUGCCAGCACGUUAUGGUGGGGACUCAGUGGAGACCGCCGGGGUCAACUCGGAGGAAGGUGGGGAUGACGUCAAGUCACCAUGCCCCUUAUGUCCAGGGCUUCACGCAUGCUACAAUGGCUGGUACAGAGAGUGGCGAGCCUGUGAGGGUGAGCGAAUCUCGGAAAGCCGGUCUCAGUUCGGAUUGGGGUCUGCAACUCGACCUCAUGAAGUCGGAGUCGCUAGUAAUCGCAGAUCAGCAACGCUGCGGUGAAUACGUUCCCGGGGCU